rnacentral:rRNA from 1 species
GAUGAACGCUGACAGAAUGCUUAACACAUGCAAGUCUUUGGCGAAGCUGUGCUUGCACAGCCUAGCCAAGGCGGACGGGUGAGUAACGCGUAAGGAACUUGCCCUCCAGUCAGGGAUAACAGACGGAAACGACUGAUAAGACCUGGUAAAGUCAGGCGGACUCAUGUCCAGCCUGAUGAAAAGAGAUGCUGCAGGAGAGCCUUGCGUCCUAUUAGCUUGUUGGUGGGGUAACGGCACACCAAGGCGAUGAUAGGUAGCCGGCCUGAGAGGGUGGACGGCCACAAGGGGACUGAGAUACGGCCCUUACUCCUACGGGAGGCAGCAGUGGGGAAUAUUGGACAAUGGGGGCAACUCUGAUACAGCAAUUCUGUGUGGACGAUGAAGGUUUUCGGAGUGUAAAGUGCUUUCAGCAGGGAAGAAAAAAAUGACGGUACCGGCAGAAGAAGCGACGGCUAAAUACGUG